rnacentral:rRNA from 1 species
AAGCUCGUAGUUGAAUUUCGGGGUCAGCAGGUUGGUCGUGCCAAUGGUAUGAACUGGCCUUGCUGAUUCCUCCCUCUUGAUGAGCCGUAAUGCCAUUAAUUUGGUGUUGCGGGGAAUCAGGACUGUUACUUUGAAAAAAUUAGAGUGUUUAAAGCAGGCAAGCGCUUGAAUACAUUAGCAUGGAAUAAUGAAAUAGGACGUUUGAUCCUAUUUUGUUGGUUUCUAGGAUUGACGUAAUGAUUAAUAGGGAUAGUUGGG